AUCCCUUUACCUUACUCCAGGAGCUCUAACUGCAGUGUGGUUUCUGGCAUUGUCUGGGGAAAAAGAAAAAGGCUCGCUUCCCUCCCUGACUGAAUAGGAGAUUCUUUUGGGGCCUAUACGUGAGCCAACAAA
ensembl:snoRNA SNORA49 small nucleolar RNA, H/ACA box 49